GCCAGGUGUAGUGGCACAUGCCUGUAGUCCCAGCUACUGGGAAGGCUGAGGCUGGAGGAUCGCUUGAGCCCAGGGGUCUCUCUAUGUUGCCCAGGCUGUAGUGCACUAUGCUGACCGGGUGUCCACACUAAGUUCGGCAUCAAUAUGGCGACCUCCUGGGAGCGGGGUACCGGCCCCAGGUUAGAAAUGGAGCAGGUCAAAACUCCCAUGCUGAUCAGUAGUGGGAUCGCGCGUGUGAAUAGCCACUGCACUCCAGCCUGGGCAACAUAGAGAGACCCUGUCACUU
rnacentral:SRP_RNA from 1 species